rnacentral:rRNA from 1 species
GAUGAACGCUGGCGGCGUGCCUAAUACAUGCAAGUCGAGCGAACAGGUGAGGAGCUUGCGGGGCGGACGUGAGCGGCGGACGGGUGAGUAACACGUGGAUAACGUACCUGUCAGAGGGGUAUAUCUUCGGGAAACCGGAGCUAAUACGGGAGAAGAUAUUGAACCGCGUGGUGCAAUAGUGAAAUACGGUUGUGCGGUCACUAAUAGAUGCAUCCGGGCCUCAUGAGAUAGUUGUGAAGGUAACGGCCUACCAAGGCGAGGAUGCGUAGCCGACCGCAGGGGGUGGUCGCCCGCCUUGGAAGUGGGCCGCCGUCCAGACUCCUGAGGGAGGCAGCAGUCGGCAACCUUACGCAAUAGGCGAAAGCAUGACGGAGUAAGGGCGAGUGAGAGAUGAAGGCCCCCCGAUCGUAAUACUCUGUUAUUAGGGAAGAACCACUGUGUACGUAACCGUGCACGUAUUGACGGUAAUUAAUAAGAAAGCCCCGGCUAACUACGUG